AGCGUAGACGGCAAGGCAAGUCUGAUGUGAAAACCCAGGGCUUAACCCUGGGACUGCAUUGGAAACUGUCUGGCUCGAGUGCCGGAGAGGUAAGCGGAAUUCCUAGUGUAGCGGUGAAAUGCGUAGAUAUUAGGAAGAACACCAGUGGCGAAGGCGGCUUUCUGGACUGUAACUGACGCUGAGGCUCGAAAGCUAGGGUAGCGAACG
rnacentral:rRNA from 1 species